rnacentral:rRNA from 1 species
UACGUAGGGUGCAAGCGUUAAUCGGAAUUACUGGGCGUAAAGCGUGCGCAGGCGGUUAUGCAAGACAGAUGUGAAAUCCCCGGGCUCAACCUGGGAACUGCAUUUGUGACUGCAUGGCUAGAGUGCGGCAGAGGGGGAUGGAAUUCCGCGUGUAGCAGUGAAAUGCGUAGAUAUGCGGAGGAACACCGAUGGCGAAGGCAAUCCCCUGGGCCUGCACUGACGCUCAUGUAAGAACGUGGGGAGCAAACAGG